rnacentral:rRNA from 1 species
ACGGGUGAGUAAUACAUCGGAACGUGCCCUGUAGUGGGGGAUAACUAGUCGAAAGAUUAGCUAAUACCGCAUACGACCUGAGGGUGAAAGUGGGGGACCGCAAGGCCUCAUGCUAUAGGAGCGGCCGAUGUCUGAUUAGCUAGUUGGUGAGGUAAAGGCUCACCAAGGCGACGAUCAGUAGCUGGUCUGAGAGGACGAUCAGCCACACUGGGACUGAGACACGGCCCAGACUCCUACGGGAGGCAGCAGUGGGGAAUUUUGGACAAUGGGCGAAAGCCUGAUCCAGCAAUGCCGCGUGUGUGAAGAAGGCCUUCGGGUUGUAAAGCACUCUUGUCCGGAAAGAAAUGGCUCUGGUUAAUACCUGGGGUCGAUGACGGUACCGGAAGAAUAAGGACCGGCUAACUACGUGCCAGCAGCCGCGGUAAUACGUAGGGUCCAAGCGUUAAUCGGAAUUACUGGGCGUAAAGCGUGCGCAGGCGGUUGUGCAAGACCGAUGUGAAAUCCCCGAGCUUAACUUGGGAAUUGCAUUGGUGACUGCACGGCUAGAGUGUGUCAGAGGGGGGUAGAAUUCCACGUGUA